rnacentral:tRNA from 1 species
GAUCCCGUAGCUCAAUGGAUAGAGCAGCGCCCUUCUAAGGCGAAGGUUGAUGGUUCGAGUCCAUCCGGGAUCA